UUUUAGUUUUUCCAAUAGUGUCUUUGGCAAGAGAGAUAAACUCUAGCAAAACAGCUGUAGAUAGCACCUCUUUAGCAUCUUAAGAAGCCUGGAGUCACCUGUUCUCAUGAAGUAAUAAUGACUGUAACCAUGACAAUAUCAACAACACUGAAACUAGCUGGCAUCAGUGCUAUGCUUAGGGCACUGAGCUUCUGCCUUAUAUAACUUGGAAUAUUUCAUAUUCAAGGGAACAAGAAAGGUUACUAAAACACGGGGCAAGGUUUCAGUGGAUGAAUGGUUGCCAUUAUCACCAGGUAUGGGGGCACAAAAGCAUGAUUCCUUAAAGUACACAUUCCUAUUACUAUUCAGAAGAAGGCUUACUUGUUAAUGAAGAUCUGGGUUAGUUACCUAAACAAGUGGUGCAGCCCUUUGACUUCUUGUCCAGGAAUGGUUACUAUAAGUGACUGGGAUGACAUAAAGAACAGCUGCUGGAAAGAAUGUGGCCAUUGGUAAAUUCCCCAUGCCCAAGUGGAAGACCUCUAAGUCCAUGUGCAUAAAGACAGUACUAUUGGACUCAGCAACUAAGAGUUCUAGUCAAUGAAAAGCUUUAAACAUUGACAAGGUGAAAUUCUUGAAAGGUGGGAAGAAAGGAGAGAAACUGAGUAACAAGAGCAAUCUGACAGGAGGUUUAAAUGACAUUGCAUACGGCAUUCUGAAGGAAAUUCAAACAAGACUAAAUAAAUUAGGAAGGAUUGCUUCAUCAGGAUGCAAAUAUUCAUGCUAUCAACUAUUUAGAGGAGGAACCCAUAAAUCUCAACAAUAGGAAGAUUAGAAAGAAAUUUAGAACAGAAUGCAAAGAUUUGAACAGAUAAAUUGUUUUAAGAAGACAUGUGGAUGACAGCUAAGUGGAUGGAAAGAUGUUGGACACCAUUUGCUCCUGGUAUAGACAGAUUAAAUCACCAUGGGAUAUGCGAGGUGUCUGCCAACGUAUUCCAACCCAAUGAUGAUUCCAAGUGUUGUCAGACAUAUGGAGAACCUGGGACCUCAGAUAUACUCCCCAGGAGAAAAAGUGGUGUAACUAUCUUGGAUAUAAUUUGCUAAAUUCUAUAAAACAUU
rnacentral:lncRNA from 1 species